rnacentral:rRNA from 1 species
AUUGAACGCUGGCGGCAUGCCUUACACAUGCAAGUCGAACGGUAACAGGUCUUCGGAUGCUGACGAGUGGCGAACGGGUGAGUAAUGCAUCGGAACGUGCCCAGUAGUGGGGGAUAGCCCGGCGAAAGCCGGAUUAAUACCGCAUACGACCUGAGGGUGAAAGGGGGGGAUCGCAAGACCUCUCGCUAUUGGAGCGGCCGAUGUCAGAUUAGCUAGUUGGUGGGGUAAAGGCCUACCAAGGCAACGAUCUGUAGUUGGUCUGAGAGGACGACCAGCCACACUGGGACUGAGACACGGCCCAGACUCCUACGGGAGGCAGCAGUGGGGAAUUUUGGACAAUGGGCGCAAGCCUGAUCCAGCAAUGCCGCGUGCAGGAAGAAGGCCUUCGGGUUGUAAACUGCUUUUGUCAGGGAAGAAAUCUUCUGGGUUAAUACCUCGGGAGGAUGACGGUACCUGAAGAAUAAGCACCGGCUAACUACGUGCCAGCAGCCGCCGUAAAAC